rnacentral:rRNA from 1 species
AAACCUUCAACAACGGAUCUCUUGGCUCUGGCAUCGAUGAAGAACGCAGCGAAAUGCGAUACGUAAUGUGAAUUGCAGAAUUAAGUGAAUCAUCGAAUCUUUGAACGCACAUUGCGCCCCCUGGUAUUCCGGGGGGCAUGCCUGUUCGAGCGUCAUUA